rnacentral:rRNA from 1 species
UACGUAGGGUGCGAGCGUUGUCCGGAAUUACUGGGCGUAAAGAGCUCGUAGGUGGUUUGUCGCGUUGUUCGUGAAAACUCACAGCUUAACUGUGGGCGUGCGGGCGAUACGGGCAGACUGGAGUACUGCAGGGGAGACUGGAAUUCCUGGUGUAGCGGUGAAAUGCGCAGAUAUCAGGAGGAACACCGGUGGCGAAGGCGGUUCUCUGGGCAUUACCUGACGCUGAGGAGCGAAAGUGUGGGGAGCGAACAGG